rnacentral:rRNA from 1 species
CCUACGGGGGACAGCAGUGAGGAAUAUUGGUCAAUGGGCGGGAGCCUGAACCAGCCAAGCCGCGUGAGGGAAGAAGGUACAGCGUAUCGUAAACCUCUUUUGUCAGGGAACAAAGGCGGGGACUAGUCCCCGGAUGAGGGUACCUGAAGAAAAAGCAUCGGCUAACUCCGUGCCAGCAGCCGCGGUAAUACGGAGGAUGCGAGCGUUAUCCGGAUUUAUUGGGUUUAAAGGGUGCGCAGGCGGCCUGUUAAGUCAGCGGGAAAAGCCCGGGGCUCAACCCCGGCGAGCCGUUGAAACUGGCGGGCUGGAGUUGGAGAGAAGUACGCGGAAUGCGCGGUGUAGCGGUGAAAUGCUUAGAUAUCGCGCAGAACCCCGAUUGCGAAGGCAGCGUACCGGCUCCACACUGACGCUGAGGCACGAAAGCGUGGGUAUCGAACAGGAUUAGAUACCCGAGUAGUC